UACGUAGGUGGCGAGCGUUGUCCGGAUUUACUGGGCGUAAAGGGAGCGUAGGCGGACUUUUAAGUGAGAUGUGAAAUACCCGGGCUCAACUUGGGUGCUGCAUAUCAAACUGGAAGUCUAGAGUGCAGGAGAGGAGAAUGGAAUUCCUAGUGUAGCGGUGAAAUGCGUAGAGAUUAGGAAGAACACCAGUGGCGAAGGCGAUUCUCUGGACUGUAACUGACGCUGAGGCUCGAAAGCGUGGGGAGCAAACAGGAUUAGAUA
rnacentral:rRNA from 1 species